rnacentral:rRNA from 1 species
GACGAACGCUGGCGGCGUGCUUAACACAUGCAAGUCGAACGGAAAGGCCUGCUUUCCCUUGUGGAUUGCGGGUACUCGAGUGGCGAACGGGUGAGUAACACGUGAGUGAUCUGCCCCCAACUUGGGUAUAAGCCUGGGAAACUGGGUCUAAUUCCCGAUAGGACUGCAGGGUGGUGCCUGUGGUGGAAAACGAUUUUCUAGUGGUUGGGGAUGAGCUCGCGGCCUAUCAGCUUGUUGGUGGGGUAAUGGCCUACCAAGGCGGCGACGGGUAGCCGGCCUGAGAGGGUGGACGGCCACAUUGGGACUGAGAUACGGCCCAGACUCCUACGGGAGGCGGCAGUGGGGAAUAUUGCACAAUGGGCGGAAGCCUGAUGCAGCGACGCCGCGUGGGUGAUGACGGCCUUCGGGUUGUAAACUCCUUUCGACCGCGAGGAAGCCACCUGGUUGGAAGGGUGGUGACGGUAGUGGUAGAAGAAGCACCGGCUAACUACGUG